rnacentral:rRNA from 1 species
UACGGAGGGUGCGAGCGUUGUCCGGAAUCAUUGGGCGUAAAGGGCGCGCAGGCGGCCUGGCAAGUCGAGUGUGAAAUCCCUUGGCUUAACUGAGGAAUGGCGCUCGAAACUACCUCGCUGGAGGGCGGGAGAGGGAAGUGGAACUCUCGGUGUAGGGGUGAAAUCUGUAGAUAUCGAGAGGAACACCGGUGGCGAAGGCGGCUUCCUGGCCCGUACCUGACGCUGAGGCGCGAAAGCGUGGGGAGCAAACAGG